CGAGAGACGCCGAGCGGAGACACUACGUGAUUUGCGUCUGGGUCACGGAAGAAGUUGACCUUUGUUGACCACAGCGGAAGCAGAGUUUACCGGCAGGCCUUAUUAGGAUUUUGCAGAAGUUCCAGGCAGGACAGUUGGCUACGAGAUUUCUGUGUACAAUUUCUGACGGAUAUGAAGAGGAGACAGCCGUGGGACUUUUUAUCUGGACCAAUUGAGGAGCUCGUGUGGUUGUCAACGGGACUGUGUUUUUCUCCGCCUGCCUGAUGUUUGGCCCCUCUUCAUACCAUCAUCAUUCCCAUCAUCAGACUGCUCGUGGAAAGUUCUCAAGGCCGGUGUGGGAGAGUUGCUUGCAUGAUAUCACCAUGUACAACAGUGCAAGAAUAAUACAAUAUUGUGACUGAAAUGAAAACCUCAGCUUUCCAGCAGCAUUUACUGCACCAUUACAAAUAUCAGCCUUCUGUUGCUUUUGAUUGUUCAACCAGAAUAGCCUUAACAGUCCAGGGGAGAGGACAGCAAUCCAAGGACCAUUGAGCCCACAUCUGUACAGAGACUGUCUCCAACACGUCUCAGAACAAACUGCUGCCCUUGAGGGAAAGACCUGAGCCGACAGAGUGCAGGAAAAGGGAAAGUGGAGUCUGUGUUUACAUCAGUGCUUCUUAUUUUCUGUAAUAUUUUUUUACAAUAUUUUCUGGAUAACAAACUUUUAAUGCCAAGAUGUUGACUAUAUUAUUAUCACCAUUUUGUUGUUGCUGUUCACAUUCACCCUCAUGCAAAUUUAAAUUGCUGUUUGAGCUUUGAUAGUCAGAAGCACAUUGAUGGAACUUUGUGAUGAUGCCUCACCACUCUGUGUGAUGCCUGUGUUGUAGCUGGUGGAGGGCAGGCCACCUGUGAUUAUGGAGUCUUAUUACUUCAUCACUGUGAUUAUUAUUUUCUAAAAUGAUUGACUAUAUUACACUAGGCAAAUUGUCACUACUUUGGUAGUUUCAGAUGUUCUUUGGUUUUGAAUUGUCACAUUUAUAUUUCUUCAUGUUGUCUAUUUGUCUAUGAAAGUAAUACAUUGACUAAAUUGUAUACACUUGAAAAAUAGAGAAAAAACCUAUGGCUGUAGUAACUUCAAGGACAAUCACUAUACUUUUCCACAAAAAAGUAAAAGCACACAGACCAGCAUAAGGAAGAAAAAAACAUUAUCAAAGAAGAGUGGCUUUUUAAUGGUAUUUUUCUACCACAACCUUCUGGGGUCAGACCUUUUAAAAAAAGACUUGAUGAGGUCGUAAAAGGUCAGAAGCAAGCGUCAUUGGACCUGGUAUGUUGUAUGAAAGAACAGCUUGACUUUAACAAAACACAUAACAAGAACUGAAUGAGUGUGUGUGACAAAACAAAACUUCACUGUUAACUAAUUUUACAAUGUUAAACGCCAUUGAUUUUGAUCUGUGGAUAAUAUUUUAUUAAAAUAUAACAAAAAUAUUAUGUAAAUCAACAACAAGUAAAAUUCAAAAUUGGAGCAGAGGGUCGGAUUCUAUCGGCAUGUCGACAGGGAAGGCGCCUGAGCUGCAGUUGUCCAUCUCACAUACAUCUGACGGAACAGAUAUGCUCUAUUUC